ACUUGAGCCGAAAUUAAGAGUCGGGUGCUCAGCCAAGGAAGCCACCCAGGCGCCCCUGUUUCUUUUUAUUUUUUAAAUUAAGCAGCAAGAAACAAAGCUCUUCUUCCUCUGGAUGGGGUGACAGAACAGGAUGGUCCCAACCCCGAGGAGGCUGUCUUCUCUCUGGGAGGGGAGGGGAAGGGAGGAGGAACCUGCCCCUGACAUCUCCCCAUGGCCCUGCAUGUGACCCUUCCUCUCUGACUUCACGCAAGACUUGUCUAGUGGCCCCAGAGUCACCCUGAGGGAGGCUUCUCUGAAUCGAAGGAAUCUGUGGCCCCUGGCAAGCCAGUUGGGAAAUUGAGAUGUUUGGGUUUUUAAUUAAAUUUCUUCAGUAGAGACCAGGAAUGUGGUUAACCAAAGAGCUGAGAUGGUCCCGGUUUCUAAUUCCACCCUGACCACUGUGCUUUUCCGCCUUUCCUGGAAUUGCUCUCUUGGUCACUUUCCGCUGACCUGGUUUUAUCCUGUUCCCCUCCCUUCCCCACCCGAGCCCCUCAUGCUGCAUCUGAACUCAUGUCUUUCCUCUCCUCCGUGUUCAUUCUCUCUGCCCUUAUCAUCCUGGUAUCUGUCCACCGGGCUCUGACUUGGGGAAGAUGCUUGUGUGGCUGCAUUCAUGGCUCACAGUCGAAAUGGCCAUUUGAUAUCCCUGUCCCCUAAACUAGGACCUCGUCCUGUUCCUUCCGCACCCCUGAAUAAGGGUUCAACAGAUGGGAUCCACCAACCAGUGCCGGCCACCAGAGCAGGAGUGUUCUGUUGGGAAAGAGCGAGAAGCCAACCUUCCACAGGCUCGUAGCAGGUGUUCCCAGCAUCUCUUUCUUAAUCCUUGUAGGCCUGGAGGCGGGCAUUAUUACCUCUGAUGUCAGACGUUUAGAGACUUGAAGGAACACCCUUAAUGCCCAAGAGCCUGGCAGGAUGGAACCAUGGUUCCGUGUCAUGCCUGACACUGGGGUCCCAUCCUGACCUAGUCACCACUGUCUGUGUGACAUUGGACAAGUCACUGGGCCUCUCUGGGCUCACUUCCUCAUCCGUAAAAGAAGAGUCUGUUUUUAGAUUGGGUGCUUUUGGUUGCGAGUUAGAGAAACCAAUUCUAACUGGCUUAAACAAUCAAGUUUGGGGUUGUUCAUCUACCUGGAAAGUCUAGGAGUUGUGCCUUGGGGUGAUUUGGCUCUCUGUUUUUCUCCAGUUCUUUUUAUUCUUAGGUUUUAAUUCUCUGAUGGAAGCAGAAAGGGCAGGGGUAUUGGCACACCCCUGUCUCUACAGAUCCAGAGCGAGAGAAUGCCUUCAUUUCAGCUUUCUGGAGAGCUGGCCCGGCAGCAGGGCUCACCCCUGGACCCAUCCCUGUGGCCCAGUGGGAUACACUGAUUGGCUGUCCUGUGGUCACAUGCCUCACAGCGCCUCUGCAGGUGGAGGCGGCUUCCCUCUACCCAAAGCCACUGGGAUGUGCAAAUGGGAGUGAAGGCCGUAGGAACAGGGAAGGACGCAGAGAAACAUCGGAAGUUCGCUAUGAGUAAACUGGACCACUGGAUAAUCCACCAGAAUGAAUGGUGGGCAGGGGGUUACUUGUGUUUCCCGUUGUAUAGCUAGGACCAAGGGGGGUGGCGGGGUGUUGUAAUGCUCAGUGACAGGUGGCAAAUGGAUGGACCUCUCCAGUUCUUUCCUCCUCUGAGCUUCUGGACCCGAGAUUCUAUUUUUUUUCACAGGACAUCCUCUUGCUCCAUCAAGAAAUGGGAUUUGGCCCUUGGACCUCCAGAUCUGGCCUUGCAGGGGAUGGCCCAUAUCUGGGUUCUCAUUUACCUGCAGGAAAGGGUUGUUACUGGAAUAGCAACUUGACGCUUGGCGUGGCUGCUGUCACCUGAGAGGACACAUUUUGUCCUAUUCCUGAUAUGAAAAGCCCAGUGAUGGGAGAUGGGGCUAAUGGAUGUGCGCAGACUUCUUGCGAAGCUCCUGCAUGUGGCAGCCUGGGGAGGAGCCCGAGCGCCCCGUUAGACCAGACAGAGGGCUUGUCCUGCCGCAAGCACAUAUGUGGACUUCUCUAGAUGGCUCCUUUGCGUCCACACAUUCACAUGCCAACUGGUGUCCCAGCUUCCGGGGGCUCCGUGUUAAAGAGAUGGCUUCGCUCUCCAGGCUGUUGAACUCCAGGUGGGGGGCCGUAUGUGCUUGCUUUGUCUGCAUGUCAGACAGGUAGGCUUUGAGGAGCACUGAUUUAUGCUCGUGGGUCCUGUGAGCUCUAACGGCCGCCACGCUGCCCUGGCAGGUGCUCUCAGCUGCCCUCGUUUGCCGUUGUGAGGGGGAAAGUUCAUGGUCAUGUUGAGAGAUCAUUUCUACCCCCAAGCAUGAGUGUGAUUCGGCUUUUUCGCAAGGGUGGUGCGGUGGAGGGGAGGGGGUGAUUAUCAUGAUUAAAGUGAUGGAGGUCCUCAGACGUGUGCUAGCUUCCGCGUUUAGUACUGCCCCGUUGAAUAGACGAGGAAGCUGAGGCUCCCAGGGCUUCCGUCACUUGUCCAGAGUCACCCUGCCGGCCAGUGGCAGAGCCAGACCUCCAUCUGCUCCAAGUUGGCACUUGACUGCAUCUAUCUCGCCUCAAGCUGCAAGCGUGGAUCCCUGCUUCUUCUGGAAAGUGCUCAAAGUCACGGAUCAGAUGGAUUUGAUAAGGUCUCUGUAGCUGUGAUUCAUCUUUCGCCCCUUCCUCCGGAGCAACCACAGACAAGUUUAAGACAGUGCUUCCUUGUCCCUUCUCAGUGAAGUCAAUGUUAAAAAAUUUACACCAAACCAAUCGAAAGAUUCUUCUGCCAGAGUUUCGCCGAUGAGGAGCUAUCGUCAACUUCUCCCCGGGUUCCAGGCCUUUCCCUGAGGUCUACCUCUUCUGUUUUGCCAUCUUCCCAUUAUUCCCGGCGGAUGGAGGACCUGGCUGGGAGAGCUGGAAACCACUGCGUGCCAUUUCCCAACCGGCAGGCAUGGAGUCAGGAUCCUCAUGCAGGUGAAACCAGAGGUUUGAGGCUGGCCUGCGUAGGUGCUCCGAACCAAGAAAGAAGGGCAAGACACAAAGGCCUGGAAAGGAGGGGCGGCUAAGGGCUGCUCUUCCUUGCCCACACGUCCCGCCAGGAAGCCGGGCGGGGCUGGCGUGUGCCGCCAGGAUCCCCGGGAAGGACCCGGCUAAGAUGGGACCAUCUCCUAAGAGGCAAGAGCUCUGGAUCUGAUUAAGACUUCCUCUUCCGGAGAAUGAAGAACAUUCUAGAUUGGAGAGGACAUUGGAGGAGAAAGUAAAGACUCGUGCACUGAGGAGUAGUCUGUGUCUGGACCUGCGUGAGCCGGACGUGACCUGCAUAUAGCUGGCGAGACACCGUCGUCACAGACCUCGUCCUUCCUUCUUGUGGGAGACAUUCCCUGUACCGUCGCCUGGUCUUAAGACUCCGCCCCCUGCUCCGCGCCCCAACCCCCGGGAACCACAGGGCUUUCUACCGCACCCUUUGUCUUGCCCCCCGGCUCCCCCGUCUGCUGUGCCUUUGGACGCAGUCAUUCUUGUUUGCUCCAUUAUCUUCCAGCCGGAUACAGAGUGAAUAGUUAACUACACUUAGGUCAAAUGGGAUUUUAAUUUUCGUUCCUGUUCCUUCUAAAGCGGCCGGUGUUUGCGUUGCUCUGUGAGCAACAUUGGAAUAGUACGUCCUCUCCCUUAUUUGGGAUCUGGCCCCCUGGGGUUCCAGAGCGAGGCAGGUGAGUGCUGAAGUUCUUCAGGGCUCUCCAGUGUCAGGGACACCGGAGGGGCUCCUGCAGGGGAGCUGGCUCAGGACGGCUGGCGUCCUCCGUGUCCAGCUUCUUUCGUUCGGAUCACACGCAGGUGUAUGUCUGGAAGAGUGAAAAAGACGAUUUGUUCAUCCCAGCUACCUUCUACCUUUUUUAAACUGUAUUUUUGACAUAUAACUGACAUACUGUUAUACUUGUUCCCCACCUGUCUUCUGUUGAGGCAGACGCACCGCCCGCUAUGAAGACCCCCUCCCCCCCCCCCCCCCCACCUCGCAGGUGGCAGUUGGGACCCAUGCCAGAACAUGGUGCUUCCUUACAGACAAUCUGGCUGCCAGAGCUGGUGUGUUUAUUGAGGAUCCUCGUCCCCCAGAAUGCCGAUGACACUCCUGACGGCAGGUUGGGCCUCGUGAAACACGAGUCAAAUAUUCUGUCACCACCAUGCGCAUGGCUGAAAGCACUUCUAGAUUCGAUCUUGUCUGCGUUGCAGAGCCAACGAUGUCUGCACGUCCUGCACCCAAAAAAUGGAUGGCUCAUUUUUGUAGAAAGAAUUAAAGCUGUACAUAUCCACCUUCUCUGUGUUGUAGGUGAUGGGUUUCUGUGACCAUUUAAUGACUUUGGUGUCUUCUAAGGGGAACAACGGGGACCUUCUUGGCAUCUCAGAUUCACCACAAAAUGAGGGAGGGGACCCUCUUGAGGAAAUUUCAUGCUGUUGAAAUGUGAAGCUUGUCUGUGGGCUUUGCCUUCCUUCCUUGACAUGCACACAGACUCCUCGUCCUGGUUAGAUUCCUUCAGGUUUCAAGGAACAGAGAUCCACUUACAUCACUUCCGUGAAUGAGGGUUUAUUCCAAGUUGCAUGGGAAUGGAAGUAAGGUAGACAGGAAACAGUCUACCCAGCAGCUGCCCGGCAAGACCUGUCUAGAAGCCCAAAGUCAUUCAAGAUAUCCAUUCGCUACAGAGUUUCCAGGAAGAGCAGGAACUCUGACACCAUGGUCAUUUUGACCUUCUGUUCAGCAGCAGGAAUCACUGCUCCUGCUUCUCGCAUUCGGAGCUGUUCCAGUUUGCCCAGGGCUGAGCAGUUUUCCGGGACACACGACUUUCAGCAAUAAACCUGGGACAGCCCUGGGCAAACCAGAAUAACCGUCACCCUAGUGGGUGACUUGAUGACACUGCCUUUGCUGCUGCUUUACCUGCUGUAGCGAGCCGAUGCUCUCGAUUAGUCUGGCCAGCUGCCAUUCGGAACCCUUGUGUCUGACCACGUCGUUGACCACCAGGUAGGCUACAGAUGGAUGCCAUUGGAUCAAGCACCAAUCUUGACCAAAUCUGGUGUUUCCAGGGUGGUAGGGUUCCAUGAUACUGAACAAAAGCCUGGGUGUCAUGAACCAGUCGAGACCACAUGCUUCAGAAGAAGUGCUGUGGAUAGUGGAUAUGGCAGCCAUUCAAAGUAUCAGGGAUUCCUCUCCAAUACAGUCCUACUUAAAAAGAUGAACCUAACCUUUCAUGUUAAGAACAAAGCAAAUCAGUAGGAAACAAAAACAGCUACCGGGAACAGGAGAAAACAGACUACGAUGUGUGCAUGCACAUGCGUGUGAGAUACACGCACAUACCACAUAGAAUAAGCCAAGAAGAAAAUGAUGCAUCUUUGCAAGAUGGAGGCUAAGAGCUAAUAAUCAUUGGGAUGGAUGGGGGCACCUGGGUGGCUCAGUCGGUUGAGCAUCCGACUUCGGCUCUGGUCACAAUCUUGCUCGUGGGUUCAAGCCUUGCGUCAGGCUCUGUGCUGAUGGCUCAGAGCCUGGAGCCUGCUUCAGAUUCUGUGUCUCCCUCUCCCUCUCCCUCCGCUCCUCCUUUACUCACACUCUGUCUCUCUCUCUCUCUCAAAAUAAAUAAACGUUAAAAAAAUUUUUUUUUAAUGAUCGGGAUGGCAUUGUCUGGAGAGCAAAGGAGUUGGCUGGAGGACUUCCUGAAAUUCCUUUGAACUCUAGGAUUCUUUGAAAUCUCAAGGGUAUGUAAGUUGGACCCAAGUGUGUACUUUCUCUCCAAAGUCUCCCAGAUAACCUUUGAGUUCAACUCCGAUCAUAUUGAAUGGGACCUCCCAGCUCACUCUUACCUUUCCAGACACUGACUUUAUCUGGGAUAAAGGAGCGGAACUUGGUGGUGGUCGUGGGCGGUAGAGGACGGGAAGGUUGUGUCUGCCCAGUUUUCGGUGUUCAUGACAAGUAAGAACAAUCUGAAGGCAAAUUACAGGUUCUUUUCAGGCUAGGCAGAUCCGGGCUUUCGGGAUUGCAUACCAUUCUGAAGUUGUUGCUUCUUGUCAAGGGAUCAGGCCUCCAUCUUUGCUGUUGAAAGAUGGGCACGAGUGUCUGCGGUACUGGAACACGAGCCUUCGGCUAAUCCCGCGCCUCUCGCACGCCGUGGCCACAGGGAGGUCUUCGCCUACUGAGGUAGAAUGAGCACGCAAAAGUCUAGGAACCAGUCUCUCAUUACUCCUGUGUAAAAACUGAGAUUCCCCCGUGCACCUGAGUCUUUGCCCUUGUUCAGACUCUCUCCGCCUUCACCACCCUUGAAGGAACACUAGCCCAGCUCCUUCGACGCUGUUUUUCUUUUUAAAAAGACAAACUCAUUUCAGACAUUUCCUUCAUUUAUGUCCCACGUACAGUCUUUGGUUCCAGAAGUCUCGCUGUUGUGCCAAAGGCAACAAUCUCCUCUUUCUCUCUCUCCUUAUCUUCUCAUUCACAUAGAAACACAGAACCCCAGAGCUCGAAGUGGUCUGUAGCAUCACCUUUAUCUAGAUUUACCUCUGACUGAUGCAGGAAUCCCCUUUCCAACAUCAGACGAGGGACUGUCCAGGCCUGGGGGAGGCAGCCAUUUUGGCAGAGUGGGAGAGAACGGUGAGAGAGGGGUGGGUGGUAUUCAGCCUGGUGGGGAAGUGGUAGGAUUUUGAAGAGCAAUUCAUAGACUGUCAAGAGACCCUGAAUGUCAAGUUCUUAAUGAGAUUUCGAGGCAGAUGCUUCUUGCCCUCUCCCUGACGCACAUCAGUCUCUCUCUUCUGGAUCUCGCGUGUCUUCUGCUGAUAAAAACCACAGAGUGGGGAGACCAGGAAACCUGAGUUUUCAUCUCAGAGAGCCCCUCACCUUCAAUCCUUCCCUGUAAAAUGGAGGGGUCGGGCCAUGUGAUCCCCAAAGCCUCUUCUGUCUCUGACAUCCACAGGCCGUCCUAUUUAAUAGAGUCCAUGACUUGAAGAUUUGCUGGGGUUUUUUGGCUCAAUAGGAGAAGAGUAAAUCAGAUGUUGCCCAAGGUACAGUGUAAAGCCAUUUCAUCCACAUCCUGAACCAAUUCAUCUUGCUGCAACUCAUUAUGAACAGAACCUCAAAUUAGCACCCCAGCCCCAAGAUUUUGUUCAGGCUUCCCUGUGAAAUUUUUCCCGUGGCACUGAAUCUUGACCCACAGGGACUUUUGAUCAUCUACAAAGGGAAACCCUGGUGGUGAUGGAGAGAUAGGAGCUUCUAAUCGUGAAGUAAGGCCCUCUGCUCGGGAAUAUGCUUUAAAGGGCAUCACAUUGACCUUGGGAAUGGCCCUUGACCUUGGACAAGACCCUUCAUGCCAGGCUGGUGGAAAGCAGGGCUGGUUCCCCCUACCUCUGCUUCAGAGUGAGACCUUCUUUGCCCAGGCUACAUCUGUACCCUCGUCCUUCAGCGUUAGAUCCGUUUCUGUGGGUCUCAGUUUUCUCCUCCACCAAAUGGGAGAAGGAAGUUGGUGAUCGUCUCGGGUCCCUCCCAUGUGUCAAGUUCGAAGCCUCCUCUGACCCAGCUGAUGCCUGCCUUUCCUCUGCCAAGUAGCUCCUCUCCCUUGAUCCUCGGCUGCACAAGCCAAAAACCAGGGCUGUCCUGGGAAGUCCAUUACCAAAGAAUACUUCAAAGCUGUUUGCACUGGUUGUCAGUUGCACUAAACUUGAGUUUGUUGAGGCAGAAGAUAAAUAGACAUACAGACUGAUGGCAGGCACGGGGAAGGGGGAACUACUAUUUGCCCGGGUGACAAGGAGCAGGGGGGAGACCUGCCUGCAGUUUUGACCAAUAAAUAAAAACUGGUCGCUCUGUGUGGCUACAACUGGAGGGGAUUUAUUAGUUUGCUUAGUGAAAAGCAAAUAUUAAGUCUUAAGUUGACCCGUCCUGGGACCUGCCUUUUGGCUUUUGUAUGCCGUCCGGCACCGAUCACCAUGUACUUUGGGUUAUCGAGUUCUGUCAAAGGGUGGGGUUUUUUUGUGUUUUGGUUGUUUUUUUUUUUUUUAUUGUUUUCCAUCUCCUCCUUUUCUCCGUCCUUUGCCUACCUUCCUCCCUGUUACUGUAACCUCAGGUCUGGGUUUUAAAGGCAUGGGGAUAGCAGGGUGUGGAAGAUGCAUCGUCCUGGUCAUGAAGCUGUCUAUAUUCAGGGCUCCCACCGGCCUAGGGACUGCCCAGUUCCCGGAACGGAGGCUCAGGGGGGAAGGGGUUGUGAGCCCACCAGGUGGUCCUUGUGGGGCCCCUCCGUCCUCGGCCCUGAGCAUAAUUAUGGGCAAUAGGAAAGGCUACGCAUUCAUAUGUGACUGUUCAUGCUGAACAGUGAUUUCAGCCAGAUGCACUGAAAGACGAACCACCGAAGGUAGCACUGUGAGUGCUAAUUGGGGUCUGACCAGGGUUUCUCACGAUCCGUGGAGCGAAACGUCCAGACCAGAGGGGCUGGACAGACACCUGAUCUCUCCAGUUUCCAAGUAUGAGCUGCAGUGAAGCUCAACAACAUGAAAGAUUCUUUACCCUUUGCCUCAAGCGUCCUCAGUGCGAGCCAGUCUGUUCUGAAUCACUGCAGUCUGUGGCUUCUCGGGCCUCAUGGGUGCUGCUCGCUGAUACCUACCACGGUGGGCACAGGGCACAGGGCUGCAUGUCAGACCCUCAGGGCCCUGGCCACUCUGACAACUGUCCACAGAGGAUGCACCUUAAGGGCCAGUUCAGGAUAUCAUGGUUCACUGCCACUACUCCUGUAGCCAAGAGUUGGGAACGUUCUGGAAUGGCUUCAUUAAGAACGUUCCUUUCACAUUCCAGUGGUGAUUUUUGAUUGAACUCAGCACGAUUUUUAACUCAUGCAAUUUUAACUCGGCAAUUUAACUCGGCAAUUCUUCCUGGAUGAGUCUAUUUUUAAAAAGGUCGAUGUUGGGUACCCAGGCUGCUGAAGUCCUACUGAUCCUUCAAGGCUCAACUCAAAGGCUCCGUUCUCUGGGAAGCCUCCCUGAAUUCCUUCUUCCCUGUCAACCGGGCACGUGUCCUUUUAAAGCAGCUGGCAUUGGACGGGUACUCGAGAGAUGCUGAUCUCUCCUUCCUGGACCCCGGCACUUUUCAUAUGUCUUUUACUGAGCUUACACUCAACUUAUUUUAACUAUUCCUUCUUCCUUUUAACUGUCUCCUUCUCUCCCCCGUCCCGACCCUUGUAAGAGCAGGACCUGGGUCACUCCUUAUGCAUUGAAAUUUAUCCCUGAGAUGCCCCCUCAUGUUAAUGAUCACAUGGCAGGCACUGUGGUUGACAUUUAAUCCUCAGAAAACAGAAUCACAUGGAUCAGUCGCUUGGACCAAUUCUUACAGGUGAGGGUUCAGAUCAAAAUUGAGGUCAUUAAAGGGCCUCAAGUUCAGAGCUCUUCAGUUGCUGCGUGAUGGCUUGAACAUGGCAGAUGUACAAGAAAGAUGUCAAGUUGAGUUUUCCUACUAAUGACCUGUCACUGUGUUGCCCACCAAACUGCCAGUUUCUUGUUUGCCCACUAUUCAUCAAUAAAGUGUUUUCUUUUUCUGAA